CUCAGGACGAACGCUGGCGGCGUGCUUAACACAUGCAAGUCGAACGAUGAAGCCCAGCUUGCUGGGUGGAUUAGUGGCGAACGGGUGAGUAACACGUGGGUGAUCUGCCCUGCACUCUGGGAUAAGCCUGGGAAACUGGGUCUAAUACCGGAUAUGACCUCGGGAUGCAUGUCCUGGGGUGGAAAGUUUUUCGGUGCAGGAUGAGCCCGCGGCCUAUCAGCUUGUUGGUGGGGUAAUGGCCUACCAAGGCGACGACGGGUAGCCGGCCUGAGAGGGCGACCGGCCACACUGGGACUGAGACACGGCCCAGACUCCUACGGGAGGCAGCAGUGGGGAAUAUUGCACAAUGGGCGCAAGCCUGAUGCAGCGACGCCGCGUGAGGGAUGACGGCCUUCGGGUUGUAAACCUCUUUCACCCAUGACGAAGCGCAAGUGACGGUAGUGGGAGAAGAAGCACCGGCCAACUACGUGCCAGCAGCCGCGGUAAUACGUAGGGUGCGAGCGUUGUCCGGAAUUACUGGGCGUAAAGAGCUCGUAGGCGGUUUG
rnacentral:rRNA from 1 species